UACGGGGGGGGCAAGCGUUGUUCGGAAUUACUGGGCGUAAAGGGCUCGUAGGCGGCUAACUACGUCGGAUGUGAAAUCCCCAGGCUUAACCUGGGAACUGCAUCCGAUACUGGAUGGCUUGAAUCCGGGAGAGGGGUGCGGAAUUCCAGGUGUAGCGGUGAAAUGCGUAGAUAUCUGGAGGAACACCGGUGGCGAAGGCGGCAUCCUGGACCGGCAUUGACGCUGAGGAGCGAAAGCCAGGGGAGCAAACGGG
rnacentral:rRNA from 1 species